AAGUGGGAUUUUGUAGCUUCUCUCACACAGAUACACACUCACCUAGACAUUGGAAAUCGUGAUUGAGCUCAAAUACCCAUAUGGUCACCUUCUCCCACACAAACCCAAAUUGUAUCCCUAGAGCUGAGAUUUUCCAUGAGAGACAAUGAGAGGGAAACGGAUUUCUAAAUAGGGCAUUCCUAGAAGUCGACGUCGCCGGGAGUCCCUAGAAGUAGCCGAUUUGAGUUGUACACUGGUAUUCGAAAGGAAGAAGAAGGUCAAAAAGAAUGACAAAGAUGAUGGCACAUUGGGUGAAUAAUACACCCCUUGAAGCAAAUGACAAGGAACCUGCAGCAACAAAAGAAAGAAGCAAGAAGUCUAACCCACUGCAGUAUAGAUCAAACCUGCUUGACAUACAAUCCUUACUGACAAGUCUUAAAUUGAAGAGUAUGCAUAAGAUUUGUGCAAGUACAGGGCUCGUCUAGUCCAUCAAUUCAAGAAUGACAAUGAUUACUCAUGGGAUGAGAAUCUCUGCAAAGCAGUCCAAAUUAUGAGUAAUUAGUACAUUGGAUGGUCCAUUUAUUUUGGGAGAUUUUUUUUGUUUAUCUAGGGAAUGGCAGUAUGUAAACUAACUUGUGUUUUGUUACACUGAAAAUAGUUGUAAUUACACUGGAUGUCUAUGCAAAUGCGCUAACUAUGGAGCAAAUUACAUUGUCUGUGUCAUGAACAAUUAGUAUAUUAGUUGCUCUUUUUGUUUUGGGAGAUUUUUGUAUAACUAGUGAAUGAUGGUGCAAAGAAAUUGACAUAUGUUUAAUUACACUCGAAUUCUAUGUUAUUAUACUAAAUGUGUAUGUAAUCCAAUUAACUAUUGAUCAAAUUACGUUGUUCAUUGCAUUAUU